GUGUAUUCUACAGUGCACGUGUCUCCAGUGUGGCUCAGAGGCUGGAGACACGGCCCUGUCGGAGUAAC
ensembl:miRNA